CAGCAGCCGCGGUAAUACGUAGGGUGCGAGCGUUAAUCGGAAUUACUGGGCGUAAAGCGUGCGCAGGCGGUUUUGUAAGACAGGCGUGAAAUCCCCGGGCUCAACCUGGGAAUGGCGCUUGUGACUGCAAAGCUAGAGUGCGGCAGAGGGGGAUGGAAUUCCGCGUGUAGCAGUGAGAUGCGUAGAUAUGCGGAGGAACACCGAUGGCGAAGGCAAUCCCCUGGGCCUGCACUGACGCUCAUGCACGAAAGCGUGGGGAGCAAACAGGAUUAGAUACCCCUGUAGUCCCUGUCUCUUAUAC
rnacentral:rRNA from 1 species